AACAUUAAUUGAUUGUUUUACACUUUAGAAUAAAAUAUUUUUUGGCGGCAGGUCCUCUCCCACCAGGUCCAAGAAUUGUAAUGAUGAUGAAGAUGGGGAGAGAGACCCCCAGAAUAUUACCCCGAAGGCAACUUUUACUCUGGGGGACUCUCCCAUUCGAAAUCCGAAAGUGGCGGGAUCCUGGUGAGAGAAACUUUCUCUUUUAAUUCGUCUUUGGAGCACUCUGCUGGCCGAUUUGUCCCAUGGUCGUCUUGGCGGGUGAGUUGGUAUUUUUUCCCAUCAGGUGGCAACUCCUUGUGUCAGGUUGGAGGCGGGUGGCAGCACUCGUUGGGAAAAAAGGACGUCGACUUGAGGACAACAUUGGAGGGCAGUGGAUUUGGCGUGAGACCUGUAUGAAGCAUCGUCGUGUGGGUGGACAUUGUGUGGCGUCUUCGUGUACAGGUGCAGGUGAGUCCAGAGGAUGUCGUCAGGAUGGGUAAAAUAUAUCACAGGAAUAAGAAGAAGACAUGUAAACAAAGAUUUCUGGACAGGAUUUAGGAGCAUAUCACAUAGAUUGAACAGAUCCCAGGUGUUGAUGGCGAUGGAUGGCCUUUUCGCAUGUAUCCUUACAUGGUCUGCGCGUUCGAUAGGAAGUUCGUCGAGUGGUGGGUACGAAGUGCAGAGAGUUAUAUUUUCGAGUGGGAGCAGACCGCGUCAUCUUUAUCUUCGCAGGGCAGGCAGUGGAUCGUGUGAGUAAGGAUUUACGUAUUUUCCGUGUCCAUCUGUGAGUCAGGAAGAACGUCGUCAGGUACUUGUAGGAGAGAGCCCAGAGAUCGUGCCAGAGAUGUCCGUAUGCAUGGUGUAGGAGCGUGGGCUUUCCUAUUGGCAUCUUUUGCUGGGAACGCGGUUCGUCCUUGUGUCGUGGAGGAGGCGGUUUGCAGCAUUCAUUAUGGAAAGGGUCCACAGUGACGGUGGCAGGGGAAGGCGUUUGACGGCUGGGUGUUGUUCCAUGGUCCUGAGUUUAUUUGUCCUUUCUCCUUACGGGUUCUGCACGUUCGUAGAGGGGUUCGUCAGGCUAGCAACGUGUUCAUGUAGAGUCAACAGGUUUUUUUUCCGAUAUAAGUGAGCGUCAUCAAGGAAAAAUUUUUUUGUCUGAGUGUCUGGGAUGGACUAAAUUUGGAUCAGGUCGCCGGCCAUUAGCAUGUCCAUUAGGGAUACACUACUGCCAAGAGAAGAGGCACCCAUUUCCUUGUCAACCGAUUCUUCUAGAGGUUACCCAGCUUCUCCCACAGCUUCGCUUGGAAACUUGUAUCCUGUUUUAGACGUUCAUCUACUUGCUGUUGCUGCAACUUUAUGUUUUCGGAGAUAUUAGUAAUAUUCUGCAUGACUUUGUGCAAAUUGUUAUCAGAAUAAGAGGCCAUUGUGGGCCGUUGUUGACCAA
rnacentral:misc_RNA from 1 species